rnacentral:rRNA from 1 species
UGGAGCUAUUGGCUUUGAAUUGUAUUGUGGAAAUGUAUUACCAACAGAGGUGCAGGUGCCAGCCUAUUGAAAUAAAGCGUCAAUGAGGGUGAGAAUCCUGUUUGUCAUGUGCACGGUGUAUAUUUGCUGAGUCACACUCCUUGGCAUUGGAAUGCAAAGUGGGUGGUAAGUUUCAUGUAAAGGUAAACAUGCAAUUGAGACUGAUAGCACACAAGUACCAUGAGGGAAAUAUGAAAAGGACUUUGAAAAGAGAAUUAAAUGAGUUUGUAUUUGCUGAACACAAAGUAAACAGACUUGAUUUGCUUGGUGGGAGUGUUGCACUUGCUUGACAAGAGCUUUGGGCUGUGGGUGUAAUGAUUCUUUCUUUGCAUGCCAGUUUCUAUUUGUACAUCUGAUUACCUUUGCACAUGAAUGAUAAGUCUCCUGUGGGGGGUGGAUUGCAUGUGCAUGUAAUGAUUUGUGUUUUGAUAAAUGUGUCUGGUGUAUGUGUGUGUUCCUGUGCUUGGGGAUGCUUCCUUCCUUGGACUUACAAGCCCUGACACACACAUGCUGGCAAAAUGCUUCUGCUUGACCCGUCUUGAAACACGGACCAAGGAGUCUAACAGAUGUGCAAAGUUUGAAGGUGGUAUACCUUUGUGUGCAAUGAAAGUGUCAGCUGGGAUAUGUGCACCAGCACCCAAUUAAUUAGCGGACAGAGGUUUGAGUUGGAGCAUAUCUAUUAGGACCCGAAAGAUGGUGAACUAUGCCUGAACAGAAUGAAUUCAGAGGAAACUCUGAUGGAGGUUCGUAUCGAUACUGACGUGCAAAUCGUUCGUCAUAUUUGGGUAUAGGGGCGAAAGACUAAUCGAACCAUCUAGUAGCUGGUUCCCUCCGAAGUUUCCCUCAGGAUAGCUGGAGUUGCUCAGUUUUAUCAGGUAAAGCGAAUGAUUAGAGGAAUUGGGGACAGGUUUGUCUUUGACCUAUUCUCAAACUUUAAAUGGGUAAUAUGUAGUGGUUGCUGUAUGGAACUUCUAAGAUAAAUG